rnacentral:rRNA from 1 species
GUGGGGAAUUUUGCGCAAUGGGGGAAACCCUGACGCAGCAACGCCGCGUGAGUGAUGAAGGCCUUCGGGUCGUAAAGCUCUGUCAGAGGGAAAGAAGUGCAGUGGUGCCAAUACCAUCAUUGCUUGACGGUACCCUCAAAGGAAGCACCGGCUAACUCCGUGCCAGCAGCCGCGGUAAUACGGAGGGUGCGAGCGCCGUUCGGAAUUAUUGGGCGUAAAGCGCGUGUAGGCGGUUUUUUAAGUCUGAUGUGAAAGCCCCGGGCUCAACCUGGGAAGUGCAUUGGAAACUGGGAGACUUGAAUACGGGAGAGGGUAGUGGAAUUCCUAGUGUAGGAGUGAAAUCCGUAGAUAUUAGGAGGAACACCGGUGGCGAAGGCGGCUACCUGGACCGAUAUUGACGCUGAGACGCGAAAGCGUGGGGAGCAAACAGGAUUAGAAACCCUGGUAGUCC